rnacentral:lncRNA from 1 species
AGCAGUUAAGAAUCUGCUCAAGGGGGCAAACAAGGAGCCAGCUGGGGAGCUGAAAUGAGACCAUCCCACUUCUUGGCUCCCCGCCCAGUGCUCUGUCCAACAGACCAUAGUGGACACCUGGGUCUGCUGAAUAGGAGCCCUGCAGUUGCUAGGGCAAAGGAUGAAGCCAAAGUUGGAAAACUCUUAUGAUGCUCCCCAUGGCGAUUAAUCUGUUUGAAGGUCUGGGCUCUGAACCUUAGAUUCCAGGUCUGCAUUCCUUCAUAAAACCUCGUGUUUUGAAAGCCGCAGUCAAUGACCCUGUGAAUUUAACUAGACACAUUCUUACAAAGCAGCGUCAUAAAGGAAAGCUCCUAAGUGAUUGGAAUCUGCCAACAUGCUGUCUUGUGCUCCUGGCUCCCAGUAUGGGGGCCCGGGAGAGGAGAAUCCCACGCCAAGUCAAUUUUCACUGCUUGGGCUACCAGUGUGGAAUGCUGGGCUUCCUUAGAGGCAUGGCUGUCAUUUUGGAUGCUUUUCUUAAUGAAGGCUUAGGCACUAAUCUAAAAGGCCUCGAUUAAGCUUCAAUGAUCAAUGGGGAGUAGUAAAGAAAGAUACUGGCUUCAGAACUGUGGUAGACUGUUUGCAAAAAAGAGCCACAAGAAUUCCUCUCUAUAUGCAUUCACGCCCCUUUGCAAUGGGACUUUGUAGCUUUCACCGUCAAGAGGGACAGUCUCUUUCUCUAUUCUUUGAAUCUGGGUUGGACAUAUGGCUUGUUUUGGCUAAUGGGACAUUAGCAAACUUGAUAUAAACAGAUUUGAUAAAGUACUUGUUGGAGCUGGCUCUCUCUUUCUACUGGGAACCCUUCUGCCACCAUAAACAAGCCUGAUUAGCCUUCUGGAGGAGCAUGGAGAGACAGAACUCAGCCAUCCCAGAAUUCCUAGCUCAGACCACCCAAGACCAUCCUAGACUGUCCAGCCAUAUGCAAACCAGCUCAGACCCAAAGGACCACCUAGCCAAUCCACAGAAU